UACAGGGGGUGCAAGCGUUGUUCGGAAUUACUGGGCGUAAAGGGCUCGUAGGCGGCCAACUAAGUCAGACGUGAAAUCCCUCGGCUUAACCGGGGAACUGCGUCUGAUACUGGAUGGCUUGAGAUUGGGAGAGGGAUGCGGAAUUCCAGGUGUAGCGGUGAAAUGCGUAGAUAUCUGAAGGAACAUCAGUGGCGAAAGCGACUUCCUGGACCAAUACUGACGCUCAUGUGCGAAAGCGUGGGGAGCAAACAGG
rnacentral:rRNA from 1 species